AACGCACAUUGCGCCUUCUGGUAUUCCGGAGGGCACGCCUGUUCGAGCGCCGUUUCAAAUCUAAGGCCUUGCCUUGUGUUGGCCAUUCUCCCGUUUGGGAGGGGCCGAAAAUCUCCGGCGCCAUUGAUCUGGUCAGCAUCGUAGCAAGAUACGUAGCUCCAGCCCAACGGCUGCCAAUGUCCAACCUUUGGCCUCGGAUCAGGCGAGAUUACCCGCUGAACUUAA
rnacentral:misc_RNA from 1 species